AAAAUUAUUGGCGUUUCCUUUUCAAGUGUCAUGCUUCUAGUGUUGCCUGCGCCUUGGCACCCCACUGUAACUGUUAAACAUCAUAGUAGAUGCUUGAGAGUUGAGAUAUGAAUUCAAUUUCAUAUGCUUGAAUUAGUCCAAAAUGCUUCCUAGCAAUUUUCAAGUACUAUGCAUGUGUAAGUGCAAGUUAAAAUAAAAAGAGAAAGAGAAGCACCUUAAUUUCAAUAAUCAAUUUAUACAUUAUCCUAAAUACAAUUUUUCAAGUACUAUUAUAUGCAAAUACCACAACUUUAAAUCAAAAUCAACAAAUAAAAAGAUGAAAUUGGGAAUUUGGAAUAUGAUCCUUCUUUUGUCGCCAAUCCUCAUCCCUGAUAAAAAAAAGUAAAAACAAAAGAAAACCACAAUAAGUAUAAUAAAGAAUAACAUUAGACAACAUAAAAUCUUAUUACAUAUAUUACCUUUGAUGAGUUGGCCUAAACCUGCAAAUGCAAAAUGAAUUAGGUGAAGCAUAUUAUUAUAUAAAGGAAAAUCUCAGCAAAAUCAACACAGUACACACCAACCAUUGUCGUAUCACCCUAGCCAUGAUAUUUAAGUUAUCCUCCACAAGAGAAAUUUACAAAAAUGGAUUCAAACUGGUUACCCACAACAUAUAUGUUUGAUCUCGCCAAGUAAUCAGUUAAGCAUAACCACGUGAGAGACGAAAAACUAUUUAAUAUAGCAAAAUUUGGAAAGCGAGAACUUAACCAUGGCGCUUGGGUUCCUCUCUUUUUUAUGUACCCGCUACCAAGAAGCUGACAUACCAGUUCAAUCAAACUUACCAUUAUAACUUGGGAAAGGCAUUGACCCCUCUUAAAGAUGAAGGUGUAUUGAUCAUGGGUUCACAAGUUGAGAGCACUUGAUCGUGAUCCUAAUGCCGCGGCUUCUCCAUGGGCUCUAGAAUUUGAUAAUUAGUCGAAAGAAGCUCUUCUUGAUGUUCAAAUUUGCAAAAUGCAUAGUUGACUUUGUUAUGGAUGUUAAGCCAUUCAAUGUCUUAGAGUUUGGCUCUUCAUUUUCAAUUGCCUUUCUAGAUACGAAGAUGUAAAUCAUUAUUAUGAGCAGUGAAU
rnacentral:lncRNA from 1 species